rnacentral:ncRNA from 1 species
AUCAAACCUGUGACGAAGAGUAGUAGUUCCGGGAAGCCGUUGUUAAGAGAACCGUGGGUGGUGAGAUCACGGUCGUCGGUGCGGAAUGAAUGGACUUCGGAGGGCGGCUUGAAAAAGCGUUUGCUUGAGUAGAUGCCGACGGGAUCCCUCCCGUUAUCAAUCGGGGUGCGUAUGAUGGUACGCAUAAGCGAGCGGACGAAUUUUUCGUCAAUUUGGGUGGUAUCGCAGGAGCGCAGCUCUUGUCCCAUUG